rnacentral:rRNA from 1 species
AACGAACGCUGGCGGCAUGCCUAACACAUGCAAGUCGAACGAGACCUUCGGGUCUAGUGGCGCACGGGUGCGUAACGCGUGGGAACCUGCCCUUAGGUUCGGAAUAACUCCCCGAAAGGGGUGCUAAUACCGGAUAAUGUCUUCGGACCAAAGAUUUAUCGCCUUUGGAUGGGCCCGCGUUGGAUUAGCUAGUUGGUAGGGUAAAAGCCUACCAAGGCGACGAUCCAUAGCUGGUCUGUGAGGAUGAUCAGCCACACUGGGACUGAGACACGGACCAGACUCCUACGGGAGGCAGCAGUGGGGAAUAUUGGACAAUGGGCGAAAGCCUGAUCCAGCAAUGCCGCGUGAGUGAUGAAGGCCUUAGGGUUGUAAAGCUCUUUUACCCGGGAUGAUAAUGACAGUACCGGGAGAAUAAGCUCCGGCUAACUCCGUG